UUUAAAGGAAGUACUUCAUGACUAUCGGCCAUCUCGGUACAGCCGCAAAGGCAGAAUCAGAACAGGAAAUGCCUGCCACACAAUGGGGUGUAUUUUGUUGUAUGUGUAUAUAUAUGCUGGACAGGACGUGGUCAGACAUAACGCAUUCUUACUGCAAACAAUUUCUUUUUUAGAGAAAAGAAAACCACCUCAAACAUGAAAUCUGUCUGCCUCGCUCUCCUUGUGGCCUGCGUCAUGGUGUCUACAGCCAUAGCAACAUACGGGUCUUAUGGCCGUGGAGGUUGGGGUGGAAACUACUAUGGUGGAUACGGACUAGGUGGUGGAUACUACGGGGGCGGACUUCUAGGUGGUGGAUACGGUGGAUAUGGUGGAUACGGCGGAUACGGCGGAUAUGGAGGAUAUGGAGGAUAUGGAGGAUAUGGUGGAUUCGGAGGAUUAUCCAGACGCGGAUAUUACUAAAUUGUUAUAUUGAUAUGUGUUGUGAAUGGACUCCUGAUCUGAACUUUAUUUAUUGUUUGAAAAGUGAGUGAAUAAAAUACAAAAAAAAUAUCAAACCAAUGAGUUCUUAUAUAUUAUUAAAGCUGAUGUCGAGAGUCUUGCUUGAACCGUGGCAA